GGGGACGAUUGGUGUCGACGGGGAAGCUUGUCGGCAUGAAUUGCGGGUCGAGGCGCCGCUGGCCUCGUAAAAAGCGGCAACAAAAAUAAACGCGAACACUAACAGUUACGCUCUCGCGGCCUAAUUAGGCCCGCGCAUCCCGUCGCUUCCAUGUCGAUACGAAGCGGCAUCGGGGUGUCAUCCUUUAUCGACUUGCCCGCCCAGUUAAGUCCGGCAACAGGCGGGGACUCCUUUACGGACUCGAACCGACGGAAUUUCGUCCGCGGAAGUCAUCGGUUCUAAACCAAAUCGCGGAAUAUGCCUGUAGAAGUUCAUGUCUCACUUCUUCGGACGAGGGUUCAAGUCCCUCCGUCUCCACCA
rnacentral:tmRNA from 1 species